AUUGAACGCUGGCGGCAGGCCUAACACAUGCAAGUCGAGCGGAUGAAGGGAGCUUGCUCCUGGAUUCAGCGGCGGACGGGUGAGUAAUGCCUAGGAAUCUGCUUGGUAGUGGGGGAUAACGUCCGGAAACGGGCGCUAAUACCGCAUACGUCCUGAGGGAGAAAGUGGGGGAUCUUCGGACCUCACGCUAUCAGAUGAGCCUAGGUCGGAUUAGCUAGUUGGUGGGGUAAAGGCCUACCAAGGCGACGAUCCGUAACUGGUCUGAGAGGAUGAUCAGUCACACUGGAACUGGGACACGGUCCAGACUCCUACGGGAGGCAGCAGUGGGGAAUAUUGGACAAUGGGCGAAAGCCUGAUCCAGCCAUGCCGCGUGUGUGAAGAAGGUCUUCGGAUUGUAAAGCACUUUAAGUUGGGAGGAAGGGCAGUAAGUUAAUACCUUGCUGUUUUGACGUUACCAACAGAAUAAGCACCGGCUAACUUCGUG
rnacentral:rRNA from 1 species